ensembl:lncRNA
CUGUAGGUCUACUGAAUGGUUCUGUAGGUCUACUGAAUGGUUCUGGGCUGUAGGUCUACUGAAUGGCUCUGUAGGUCUACUGAAUGGUUCUGUAGGUCUACUGACUGGCGCUGUAGAUCUACUGAACGGUGCUGGGCUGUAGGUCUAUUGAGUGGUGCUGGGGUGUAGGUCUACUUAACGGUGCUGGGCUGUAGGUCUCCUGAAUGGCGCUGGGCUGUAGGUCUCCUGAAUGGCGCUGGGCUGUAGGUCUACUGAAUGGUGCUGGGCUGUAGGUCUCCUGAAUGGUGCUGGGCUGUAGGUCUACUGAAUGGUGCUGGGCUGUAGGUCUACUGAAUGGUGCUGGGCUGUAGGUCUCCUGAAUGGUGCUGGGCUGUAGGUCUCCUGAAUGGUGCUGGGCUGUAGGUCUCCUUAAUGGUGCUGCGCUGUAGGUCUACUGAAUGGUGCUGGGCUGUAGGUCUACUGAAUGGUUCUGUAGGUCUACUGAAUGGUCCUGUAGGUCUACUGACUGGUGCUGUAGGUCUACUGAACGGUGCUGGGCUGUAGGUCUACUGAAUGGUGCUGGGCUGUUGGUCUCCUGAAUGGUGCUGGGCUGUAGGUCUACUGAAUGGUGCUGGGCUGUAGGUCUCCUGAAUGGCGCUGGGCUGUAGGUCUACUGAAUGGUGCUGGGCUGUAGGUCUACUGAAUGGUGCUGGGC